AUGGGACCCUCUUUUCCAUCCCAUGUCCACACGGCCUCUCUCCUUGCAGCCUCUGAGGCACCUCCCCUCCUAGCUACCCUUUUCCUAUUUUCUGGUCCAGCAAGAGGAACUCACAGCAUCUUUUCUUACUUCCGGAGAAAUUCAUUCCACAUGUGUCUGAUUCAUUCUCGUUUACAGAAACUUGAAAUCUCCAGUGUCCAAAAACGCUUUCAACUAUUUUUUUUUCUUCCCUUUCUUAGAAACAGGAAGUUGUGUUUGGCUACGGACAAACUAUUUCAGUGCCCCUGGGACUUACAAGAUGUUUGGAAUGAGGAACGCUCUCCCAGGACGGUGAGCUCAGCGGAGGUCCCCAGAAAAACAUGCUAUGCGGGAGGAGAGUUUUCCCCAUAAGACAGACUGUCCUUCAGCCCCGGCCACCAAAGAGGAGCAACCUGGGCCUGCUGUUCUCCGGGACUGAAUGCGGCUGCAUCCUUCCCUUCCUCUGCUUCCUGCUCCAGUACUUACUGAUGGUGCACACGUGGGGCCUGGGGAAGCUGGGUACCUAACCCACGGUGCAGCUACGGAUGGGAAAUUCUGGGCAGGGACAAGCCUGUCUUCCCCUGGGGGAUUCCCUCCCACAUCGCACAGGGCAGAGUGGGAGUGCAGGAGGGCAGAGGACAUGUCUCAGGGCCAGGACAUGUCUAGGCUUACAGAAGACAUCAUCACUGUCCUCAUGAUGUUCACCCUGUCUCCUGUUUUUUGGGGCCAUGUAUUCCGAAAUGUAUCUUCAACUCAUCAUAGGGGCAAAAAGAAGUGAUGAGUCUGUGGCAGCAGAAAUCUGGGAAUCCAAGGGUCAUGCUACAUCUAGUCCUCUUUGGUAAAUUCUGCCUUCCUGUUCACACUUUUUGAGAAACCAUUUUGAAUUCCCAAACAGCAAAGGAAAUGCUGCAGGUUCCUGGAGGCACCUGGUGAUCUGGGGCAGAGCACACGGAGUCAAGAUUGCUGCGGGGUUCACGGGCCUCCCCUCCCGGGACCAGGGGCACCUGGGCAGGGGAGUCUGCACCAUGCGGGAAAGCCCAGUACAUACAGCUGCUCGCCCCUGCAGACUCCACAGUGCAGGGCUGACAAGGCCUCCCUCUCUAUCUGCCCUGGACCACAAGUGGAAAAGAUCAAGACAAAGCAAAAGCCAAUAUCCCUUAAGAACUUUCCAAUUGUUCUUGUCAUUUGUAGUUUUGUGUUUUUGGGGGUGUGGGGAGGGAGGGGUGGUUUGAAACAACUCCGAAGUGCGCUCCAGAGGAAAGCAGGAAGGGUGACAUGUUUGGACACCUGAAAAGAGGAAGGGUCCUCAUGAAGACGGUCACUUGGUUAAAAAGUUCAAGCACAAAGGAUAUAGAACCAGGUGGAUAUAAUCAGAGAACAAGAUGCAGAUCUAGCGAGAUGGGUCCUGCCACCCCUGGAAUAUGUCCCUGGGAGAGGGGCUGGUCUGCUAUAGUGGGCUGGGAAUGGUAAUGUUCUAUACUUUUGUAAAUUCACAAAACCCUCUGGUAAGCAACAGAGGAAUAAAGGGCAGAGAAUAAACCCCA
rnacentral:lncRNA from 1 species